rnacentral:tRNA from 1 species
GGGGCAUUGGCGAAGUUGGGAUCGCGCAUGACUGGCAGUCAUGAGGCCAGGGGUUCGAAUCCCCUAUGCUCCA